CACUGCAUCCCAUACAUACACAAACUCACCUUGCAGCCCUUACACAUACAAACACAGAUUCACACAAUGCAUUCCUUACACACAUCAAGACACCCCCCACACACACUCCACUCCCUGUGAACAAACUCAUUGGUGGAACAUGACCCAGACCUUGAGCUGUGUAAAGGGCCCUCAAAAAAAAAAAAAAAAAAAGGGAGCUGCUUCCCGUUCUCCCUGAACAGUGAUUUUUGUGACCACCGUUACAAACCGCCUCCAGAGAGCCUGUUGUACACCAGACCAGUGGAGCCAGACGGCAGCUAGAGCCCAUCAUCCUCAUCUGGUUGUAAGUAGGCCAUCUAGUAUAUUAUUCGUGGUACUAAUCUCUAAUUUACCUCACAUUAAAGGGACACUGUAGUCCCCAGAACUACUGCAGCUUAAUGUAGUGGUUCUGGUGUCUAGCCUGUCCCUGCAGGCCUUUUAAUGUGAACACAGCGGCACUGCAGCACUGGUGUUAGUUAACAUGGCAG